CAGGGCCUGUCCUACCACAUGGACCUGCUAAGCUGCACCUUUGCCAGAUCACCCCUCACUCCUGAGGAUAGGCACAUAGGCCUGUCCUAAGGUUGCCUGUCCUUUUCUCUUCAUCUUUGAAUGAGAAACCCAAGCAAUUCUUUAACGGUGAUAAACCUUUACACUCAAAUUUCUGACAUUUAGCCCCAAAUUUUAACAGUGGAGGAAAAUAAAUUUCAAGUUCCCAAUGCCUUUUGCUAAAUCAGAUAACUUGAUGACAAUGUAAACAGCCUUCAGCAUUAAGAUAAGGAAUCUUUUCAACUGCAAAUCAACUAUACAUUUGGUAUUGC